UCUCUGAUAUCUCAGUUGGUAAAGAAUCUGCCUGCAGUGCAGAAGACCCUGGUUUAAUCCCUGGGUCAGGAA
rfam:TPA: Bos taurus chromosome 25, whole genome shotgun sequence.